ACAGAUGGUUCAAGUGCUAGGUCAGAUUUUGUUUCCUUCUAGGAUUUUUUUUUUUUUUUUUUUUUUUUAACCACUAGCCUCCAACCACCCCACUCUGGAAACUCUUUCAGGACAGAAACUCCUCCUAGGCCUAGUGUAAAACCUCCCCAACCAAGCCAUCUGGAAAAAGAUUGUGAGCUGAAAAAAAAGAUAAGGAGUAUGUAGGGGAAAGGUGUGUAUGUGGCAGACAGACUGUGACAAGGACAAGUUCUAGGCUCAAUUCUGAAGACAAAUUGUAAUUCUUUGAAUUACACUUUUUGCAUUCCCUUCUUUAGUUACUUCAUGCUACCUGGGGCACUUGCGUCAGGAGAGAGAACAAUAAAAGUAAUUACUCUAAAAUUUUAUGGUCUCACUAUGAUAUCAUUUCUUUUUAUAUAAUAUUAUUUCUUUUUUAUAGCCUCUGUGAUGUAGUUAAUAGUACUUACAUUUUACAGCUGAAAAAAGUGGAGUUCAAAGCAGUUAAGUGAUUCAUAGAAUCAGUAAAUGGCGGAAAUUGGACUUAAUCCAGGGCUUUUGAUGCUAACUAAACCACAGUGCAAAGACAAUAAAUAGCACUGUAUAUGGGAAAUGACAAAAAUGAACAUAAGAAAAGAGGCCAUAUUUAAGGUUUCAAAAAGUUAGUCUAACAACAUUACAGAGUCAUUAUUUGGGUAGGAGAUUGUCGAGAAAUGAAAUGCCAAACUUCCUUCUAGCUCACUAGAUUGGUACAAGUCAACCCUGUAAAAGGUUGUGCUUCAUUGAUUUCAGAAAUGACAACUGCUGCAAUAAUAAGAAUGGAGCCCCAUAAAAUUCACAGGAAGUACCUAAAGGAAAUCUAAAUGAAAAACAUUUAAAAAUGGAAACAAUAGAUCUAUGUUAAGGAAAACACAUCGUGAAGAAUCAAAGUGAGGAAGAUAAAAGAAUUUCAAUCUCAGUUGCUGCAAGAAUUUACCUAGAAGGGAUGGAAGGAUCCUUUAUCAGUCUCCCACAACCACAUUACCAUGGAUCAAGUUCAUUAAUUUUGCAAAUUAUGAUCAAAGAUCAAAGCUUAGAAACUGAUCCUGAGGAAAUCCAGAACUGGAAGAUUUCUGCAGUAUCAAGAAGAAAAAUGAGCAGGAGGACUAGAAAUUGAAACUAGAAGUCGUGGUUGCCACACCACUAUUCAAAACCACUCUUUUACUUCCUUUCCCACAACCAUAAUUUCACAGACAAAGCAUUACUGCUUCAAGCAAGAAGGUAAAUGCUAUGAGUUGAAUUGUAUCCUCUCGCCUCCAAAUUUAUGUGUUAAAGUCCUAACCCCCAGUACCUCAGAAUGUGGCCUUAUUUGGACAUAGGGUUGUUGCAGAGUGAUUGGUUAAGAUGAAGUCAUACUGGAAUAGCGUUGAUCCCUGCUCCAGUAGAACUUGUGUCCUUACACAAAGGGGAAAUUUGGGCACAGAUACGGGUACACGAGGAGAGCAUCAUGUGAACAUUGUUAGGCUUUCACAAGACAAAGAACUAUCAGAAAUUAGGAGAGAGGCCUGGAACAGAUCCUUUCCUCAUGUCUUCAGAGGAAGUGUGGUCCUGCCGACACCUUGAUCUUGUACGUGUAGCCUCCAGAAAUAGGAGACAAUAAAUAUCUUUUGUUUAAACCACUCUGUGGUUACUUUACAUGGCAGCCUUAGAAAACUAAUACAGUAAGCAAAAGGAUUGCUGAAUCUGUGCAAUAAGAAGUCAUAUUUCAUAGAGAUUCUCCAUUUUAGGGGCACCUGGGUGCUCAAUCCACUGAGUGUUUAGCUCUUAACAUUGACUCAGGUCACGAUCUCAGGAUCGUGGGAUCAAGCCCUGUGUAGGGCUCUGUACUGACAGCUCAGAGCCUACUUGGGAUUCUCUCUCUCCAUUUCUCUUUGCCCCUCCCCAGCCUCCAAAUAAAUAAAUACACAUUAAAAAAAGAUUCUCCAUUUUAUUAAUUACUGGUGAAACAAGAAGAAACAGGAAGCAUGUAUUACCAAGAUAAACAGAGUAAACUAAAAAUUGCAAUCAAGUAAUCAGCCAGCAAAUGACCCCCAAAACCCUAAAUUGUUUUAUUUUAGUUAUAAUCCUUAAUGAAUCACAGAAUCUUCUGUCUGAAAGGGACAAAGAAAUACAUCCUUGGUUCUUCUCUUUGUUUAUUACCAAUAGGAACAGAUGUAUUUUUUCUUAUUGAAUGUUUCCCAUGCAAAGAAUAUGAUCCUUCUCAGGAAUCUUUUCCUUGGCCAUCUUGAUGUAGGUAUUCCAUCCCAUACAGUUUAUAUCUACAGGAGGUAGAUAUAAAUAAUGUGAGUCAGUUGAUGACUCUUUCCUCCUCUCUGAUCUGGAAUGACAAUAACCAUAUUGGUGGUUGGAUCUAUAAUAUGAUGUUCAUUAAAUAAUUCACAUCUCACCAAUGAGACUCUUAUUGCUGUAAUACUAUGUGAUAAUUAUAGGUGAUGUCUUGAGAUUGGGCCUAAUUCAACUUUGUCAAAUUAUAUAUUUAUCAUAAAAUGGGAGGAUUCAGAUUGAGAAAGCAAGAAUGCAUAAAGCCUCCAUAUUUUCCAGUUCAUGCAGCAGCAACUGCACUCCAAUUCUAAGACCUGCCUGCCUUUAUUAGCUAGAAACUGUAGAGACCCAGUCCACAGCUAAGUACCUAUGCGGCUUGGAGAUGGUCAGUACAUAAAGUUAGAAUAUAAAGGAAUUAGAUUCGGGGUGCCCAGGUGGUUCAGUCGGUUGUCAGAAUCUUGAUAUGGGCUCAGGUCAUGAUCCUGGACUGAGCCCUGCUUUGAGCCCUCGGGCUCCCUGCUGGGCAUGGA